CUAUACAGGACAUAUGCAAUGACUUGUGCUAUCAAGUGAUCACUUGUUGCACUAUUUCUGAUGCAAGGAAUUACUUGUUCAACCAAAACUUUGAUAUCAUUCUUAUUGAAGCUAAUAUGCCAAGCAAUGAUACUUUUGAUUUUGUUGGACAAAUUACUUCACAUUUUCCUGUCAUCAUGAUGUCUCUUGAUCCCACGCCUUCUUCUGUUAUGGAUUCAAUUACCCAAGGGGCUUGCGCAUUCUGGUCCAAGCCCUUGGAUGAGAACCAAUUUAAGAUAUGUGGCAACAUCUUGUACGGAAGGCUUUGAGCGAAACUCGUGAACUUCCUCAAACCUUGGAGGUUAAAGGCGGAAAAAAAUGAGGAAGUGAAGAUGUUGAUUUACCAAAACAACCGCUUCCAAAGAAAAGUCGUUUGUCAUGGACACCCGACUUGGACAAACUAUUCUUAUCGGCUGUGAAUCAACUUGGGGUUAAUAGUAUUAAUGCAACACCCAAAAAAAUUCUUAAGCUGAUGAACUUUCCCGAUUUGACAACAGGGCAAGUAGCUAGCCAUUUACAGAAAUAUAGGAAGUAUUUAAAAGGGGAAAU